ACUUCUGCAGGAGCUGAAGCAGGCAGAAACAUGUCCAGUAGCAUCAACUUAAAGAAGUCUCUGAAAAUGUUUAAAGGCAAGUUACUACAGAAUCUUUCCCAGUUAUUAAUUAUUCGUUGUUCUGCAAGGAAUUGUGAUAAAUGAUCUGCUCUGCUGCUUGAAAUCCAUCUCAUUCUCAAGACAGGUAAGUUCGAUAUUAAUGAUUAGCAAGGAAAUAAGUGAAACUGAAAUAUCAAAAUGAAUAAUCACAUUUUGAUAUGUGGUAACUGAGGUAGAACCUCUCCAAGUUGGUGCUGUCUGCCAUGCCUAUCUAUAUAAAGAAAUCGAAAUUACAUCUGAUAACCUACGCAAUGAUAUCAGUUCCGAGCCUGUACAUACACAUCUGGCUUAGCUGGAUAAAUUAAAACAUAUCAUUAAAUUUAAUCAUGGCCCUGUUGACUGUUUCACUAUAUACACUAUUAUCCUUGAGCCUUAAAUCCUAGAAGAGUAAAGUAGAAGUUGCUUCUCUGACCACAUGUUCUUAGAUCCAAUUAAUACGGUUGUUUUCUAUGUGAAGGGUCUCACUCAGGCAAAACAAAAGAAAAAAAAUACAAACAGUACUGAAACUGAAAUGGUUACCAAAAGCUAUCUGAUGUCAAAUGGAUA
rnacentral:lncRNA from 1 species